UAGUGGCCUACCAUGGUUUCAACGGGUAACGGGGAAUUAGGGUUCGAUUCCGGAGAGGGAGCCUGAGAAACGGCUACCACAUCCAAGGAAGGCAGCAGGCGCGCAAAUUACCCAAUCCCGACACGGGGAGGUAGUGACAAUAAAUACUGAUACAGGGCUCUUUUGGGUCUUGUAAUUGGAAUGAGUACAAUUAAAUCCCUAACGACGAAC
rnacentral:rRNA from 1 species